rnacentral:sRNA from 1 species
UCAUCCGUGUGCGCAUCGGGGAACAUG